CCUUGUACACACCGCCCGUCACGUCACGAAAGUCGGUAACACCCGAAGCCAGUGGCUCAACCCCCUUGUGGGGAGGGAGCUGUCGAAGGUGGGAUCGGCGAUUGGGACG
rnacentral:rRNA from 1 species